CAGGGCACAGGCAGAGAGAAAAAGCAACUACAAAGGGAAGCAGAGGAAGUGAAGUUUGAAAUCCGGGCGUCCCCAGUUCCAGGCUAGUGUCUCUUCAAAAGAACACCCCGUCUCCUCUUUCAUCUCCACGUUGUGAGCCACAGCUGGGGGAUCUCAACUAGUUCUGAAGUUAAUAUUUGGCCCAGAUCACAAGUCCCAGUGAACUUUGCUGACAUUAGGGUCACACGCAUCGCUGUUCUGUGCCACAGAAGAGAUCUGCUUCUGCUUCAUUUCUCUAAAAACUCUGGCGGACGAAGUAUCCUCUAGAGAUUGCUCAGAGCCUCCAUUCUCAACUAGUCAGAGGUGUCGCAGGAUGGCAGCAACACCCAUUCCCCAGGAGGCACAACGCCCAAUGCUGGCCAACUCCAAGCUCUCUACCCUGCUCUCAACUUCACAAAGUGCCACACCGACUACCUUGUCCCUGAUUGAGAAGGAGCCACAGACAGGCCAGGAUGUGUCUUUCACCCAAGGAGAACGUGGGGCCUCGUCUCAGCAACACAAAUGAGACAGGAAUGGGGCAGGGCACAACCUUUACAAGAAUGCCAUAGCCAUUGAGGACACGACAUAAACUGGUUAGAAACAACUAGGUUCAAGAUGACAGAUGAUUGACUUCUACUAACCUUGAGCCUCAGUACAGGUUCACUGUAACAUAUCAGCAAGCUAAAUGACACACCCACAGGCGCCAUGUCAAUUCCGAGGCGGACAGUAAAAGGCCAGAAGUGGGCGGUGGCUCCAUUCCUGGAAUAAGCCUCUCACUCCUUAGCCUAUGAAAUUACCCACCCCUAUAAAGUGACAAUCCCAUACCUGGGGCCUCUCUCACCUUCCGAGAUGGCUCACACUCUGUCUGUGGAGUGUGUAUCUCCCUGAAUAAACCUUCUUUCACUUUA